UACGUAGGGGGCAAGCGUUAUCCGGAUUUACUGGGUGUAAAGGGAGCGUAGGCGGUGAUGCAAGUCAGAAGUGAAAGCCCGCAGCUCAACUGCGGGGCUGCUUUUGAAACUGUAUGACUAGAUUGCAGGAGAGGUAAGUGGAAUUCCUAGUGUAGCGGUGAAAUGCGUAGAUAUUAGGAGGAACACCAGUGGCGAAGGCGGCUUACUGGACUGUAAAUGACGCUGAGGCUCGAAAGCGUGGGGAGCAAACAGG
rnacentral:rRNA from 1 species